GUUUGCAUCAACAACAUGUUAGUUAUUAUUAUGUAAAGUCUUAAUAAUGUCUAGAGUACUUUGUCUGGAGUUGGGAAACAAAAAUGCAUCCUCUCAAACUCCGCAGUGAUCUCCAGCACCGUUCGGUUCUUCGUCUCGGGCACGUUGAAUGCGACGUACAGCCCACAGACGAGGCAGAACACCAGAAAGAUGAGGAAGCAGAAACUCUCAAGAUUCUCCUGGAAAAUAAACACACUUGAGUCAACAAUUCAAGUCAUCUGAUCUGUUGGUGUGUCGAUGCACCGACGUACCACCAUGGUGGGGAAAAGCAUCCCCAGUGCGAACAGGCCCAUCCAGUUGAUGGUGCAGCCUAGAGUGUAUCCUGCAGAUUUGAAGGACUGAGGCAGGAUUUCUCCGGGAAGAGGAGCCGUUGUUGCAGCUUUGGAUCAAGAGCACAAACAUUUCAUUUGAGCUGAUUAAAAAUUAAAAAA